GGCUCAGGACGAACGCUGGCGGCAUGCCUAACACAUGCAAGUCGAACGGGGUUUUCUAAACGGAGUCCUUCGGGACGAAGUUUUUAAAACCUAGUGGCGGACGGGUGAGUAACGCGUGGGUAACGUACCUUUUAGUGGGGAACAACAGUGAGAAAUUACUGCUAAUACCGCAUACGGUCAUCUUGCCGCAUGGUGAGAUGAAGAAAGACGGCCUCUCGACGAAGCUGUCGCUAAAAGAUCGACCCGCGUCUGAUUAGCUAGUUGGUGAGGUAACGGCUCACCAAGGCGACGAUCAGUAGCCGGCCUGAGAGGGUGAACGGCCACAUUGGGACUGAGACACGGCCCAAACUCCUACGGGAGGCAGCAGUGGGGAAUCUUCCGCAAUGGGCGAAAGCCUGACGGAGCAAUGCCGCGUGAACGAAGAAGGUCUUCGGAUUGUAAAGUUCUGUCCUUAUCGAAGAGAGGUAUAUGGAGUAACUGCCAUAUGCAGGACGGUAGAUGAGGAGGAAGCCCCGGCUAACUACGUGCCAGCAGCCGCGGUAAUACGUAGGGGGCAAGCGUUGUCCGGAAUCACUGGGCGUAAAGGGCGCGUAGGCGGCAAUAUAAGUCAGAUGUGAAAGGUGAGGGCUCAGCCCUUAGACUGCAUCUGAUACUGUAUAGCUUGAGUGUGAGAGAGGAAAGCGGAAUUCCUAGUGUAGCGGUGAAAUGCGUAGAUAUUAGGAGGAACACCAGUGGCGAAGGCGGCUUUCUGGCUCAUAACUGACGCUGAGGCGCGAAAGCGUGGGGAGCAAACAGGAUUAGAUACCCUGGUAGUCCACGCCGUAAACGAUGGGUACUAGGUGUUAGGGGUUUCGAUGCCCUUAGUGCCGGAGUAAACACAAUAAGUACCCCGCCUGGGGAGUACGGUCGCAAGACUGAAACUCAAAGGAAUUGACGGGGGCCCGCACAAGCGGUGGAGCAUGUGGUUUAAUUCGACGCAACGCGAAGAACCUUACCAAGACUUGACAUCUCCCUGACCGGACUUGUAAUGAGUCCUUUCCUUCGGGACAGGGAUGACAGGUGGUGCAUGGUUGUCGUCAGCUCGUGUCGUGAGAUGUUGGGUUAAGUCCCGCAACGAGCGCAACCCCUGUUGCUAGUUGCCAGCAUUAAGUUGGGCACUCUAGUGAGACUGCCAGUGACAAACUGGAGGAAGGUGGGGAUGACGUCAAAUCAUCAUGCCCCUUAUGUCUUGGGCUACACACGUGCUACAAUGGGUGGUACAAAGGGAAGCGAAGCCGCGAGGUGGAGCCAAUCCCCCAAAGCCACUCCCAGUUCGGAUUGCAGGCUGCAACCCGCCUGCAUGAAGUCGGAAUCGCUAGUAAUCGCAGGUCAGCAUACUGCGGUGAAUACGUUCCCGGGCCUUGUACACACCGCCCGUCACACCACGAAAGUUGGUAACACCCGAAGCCGGUGGUCUAACCGCAAGGAGGAAGCCGUCGAAGGUGGGAUCAAUGAUU
rnacentral:rRNA from 1 species